rnacentral:misc_RNA from 1 species
GGAAGUAAAAGCCGUAACAAGGUUUCCGUAGGUGAACCUGCGGAAGGAUCAUUAUCGUACAAAAUGUGAGGGGCAUGCGAGGGCUGUCGCUGACCCAAAAGUCGUGCAUGCCCGAGUGUGUCCUCUUGCAUAAUAAUCCAUCUCACCCUUUGUGCAUCACCGCGUGGGCACCCUUCGGGAUCAUCUCGGAGGGGGGCUCGCGUUUUCACACAAACCCCCCUUUUAAAAGUGUAGAAUGACCACAUUUAUGCAACCAAUACAACUUUCAACAACGGAUCUCUUGGCUCUC